UAUCCAUCACAUUGAAGUGAUUAAAAAAAUACCCUAGCAGCAACCAUUGUAGGCCUCCGCCGCCAGCCAACAAUGGAGCGCCGGCCGCCGGCUCCCUGCUCUCCACCUCCCUAGAACGCCGGAUCUCGCCACCAUCCCAAACUCGCCGGCUCUCCCCACCCCAAUGUCUCAUCUCUCCAAGAGCUCCCCUCCAACCCAAAGUUCCUCGCGUAAGGCACAAAAUGAAACCAGCAUGCGGAGGCGAGGCAUGCCGCCCCUCCUCCGACCAGCCAACCAUGGUGUCGUGGUUCUUCGUGCCGCCCUCCUCCGACUAGCCAAUCAUAGCAGCAUGGUUCGUUUGACUCGUGCAGGGGCUCUUCUCUCCCACCAGUCGGCGCCUCGACUUUGAAUCCUACAACCGGCACCUCGACUUCAGCUCGCACCGACCAGCAUCCUCCGUCGCCAGAUCUUAACCACACCGAGUUCCUCGGCCAUUGUCAUGAACCUCUAAGCAGAUAAGCCAACCUUCAUGUGUAUUUCCUGUUAUAUCUCCACACUCUAUUCCUCUCGGUUCUGUUUUUCAGGAAGGUGGAUUAGUGGCUGUUUCCAGUAUGUGGAUGGGAUGGCAAUGGCUCUUCCUUGGUUGAAGGAUGCAAUGCAUCUCGCUAAAUUCCAAGCUAUAUUAUUUUGGGUCUACCUAGAUACCCAAGCAUGGAGAUAAAGGCUACAAGUUGGGUGGAAAGCUAGGGAGAUGAUUCUCGAAAGAAGUUUACAUACAUGCCUGGAUGCGUUCGAGAUGCAUUGUAGUGUGUAUUCAUAGGUGGUCGUGGAGGGCGACUAAAAGAAGUCCAUCAUCGCAUCAAGUUUUGGGAAUUAUGGGGAUCAAAAUCAGAUCAAGAUGCAUCUGCCUGAAUAUAAAAUAUAAGGAAAAAAGCAAUAUAAAGCGAAGGAGGAAAAAAUAGUUCCGAAGGAUAUAGCUACACUACACAACAUUGGGAUCGUGGAUGUUGAUACCAAUUGGAUGUGCUUCCGUGUAGUCCCAAGUCAAGAAAUUUCUCGCUGAUGUGUCAGGCAAAGAUUUUUUUUCCAAAAGGCAAAGAUUCAUAGCUAGCAGUUUAUCAGCUGAUGACUCUUGCUUUGUUGAUUGUUGUGCUUAAUCAAUAUCCUUACAGUGGGUGCACAAUUGUGGUGAAGACAAACACCAUCCCAUGGGAAUGCACGAAUUCCCGACUAAGCUAGGUUUUGGACGGCGUGACGUGCUUCCAGUCAAUUAAUCAUUUUAUCUUCUAACCCACAUGCAGGUAGGAGGUGAAAAUAUCUAGGAAUUUAUCACUGAGUUUGCCUUAUCUCUUUUAUUGCUUUAUCUCUUUCUUGCUUAGAUAUUGCAUGAAGUAUGACAGACGCAGUUGUGGCACAUUAAUUUCACCAUAAAAGCAUAUGCAACACAAUAUAUGUAUAUGUGUUGUUAGUUUAUUGUUUUUCCCUAGCAACUCGACAUGUCUCAUUCUUUUUCAUCACCAAUUACAGAUUAAUGACAGAAGAGAGUAUGUCACAUGAAAUUCACUAGACCUGAUUUCUAAUAGACCUUCGCGCUUUAAUAGAUAUUGGGGCAUUUUUCCUCUAAUCAAUGUAGAAGUAUUUCCUCAUGCCGCAAACAUAGGUUACACUGCCCUAGAUUAUAUGUGAAAAUUUUAUGUCUAAAUUACCAAAAAAUUAAACUAUGUUAUAAUAAGAAAAGAAAAUGUAUGGAGAACAAGUACUAAGUAAUGUGGAUUCAAGUUACCCCAUUAUUAUUUAAGAUUAUUACAUCACCAAGAUUUCAUGUAGUAAUUUAAGAUUUAAUUAGCAAUUUGGCCGUUUAGUGUUUCCAUUAUUUUGUGGGGUAGUAAUUUUCACAUAUUCUUAUACUAUAAUCUCUACAUAUUUUAAAAUCCUAUAUUAUAUAUAUGUUUUACUGCUACCUUUUCUCUUCUUUUUCGAAUUCUAAAUUCUGAUCGAACCCAAAUGAAAAUCAUUGACAUGAUUAAAGAUAGUGAAUAUUGUGGUUUCCCUUCCUCGGCUAUUUUUUCUGCUCAGUACUCAUUGUUUAAUUCUACAACCGAAUGUUUUCACUAUAAAUUCUUCAAUUCCUAUUUCUCAUUUCUUACACUAUUGUUCUGUGGUAUUACGUGACAAGAAGUUGCACAUAUUGUAGCAAACACAAACACCAGCCCACGGAAAUGCACGGGUUCACGACUAAGCUAGGUUUGGACAAUGUUACGUCCUUCCAAUCAAUUAAUCAUUUUCUUUUCUAAGCGCAUACAGGUAGGAGGUGAAAAUAUCUACCAAUUUAUCACCGUAUCUCUUUUCUUGCUUAUACUCCCUGUGUUCCUAAAUACAAGUCUUAGAGAUUCCACUAUAGACUACAUACGGAGCAAAAUGAGUGAACAUAUACUUUAAAAGGCGUCUAUAUACAUCCGAAUGUAGUCUCUAUAGUAGAAUCUCUAAAAAGACUUAUAUUUAGGAAAGGAGGAAGUAUAUCACAUGAAAUAUGCGGGAUGCAGUUGUGGCACAUUAGUUUCACCAUAAAAUUUCAAAUUAAGGCCUCCAUGGAGCUUGACCUCUAUUAGGAAUUACCUAUGCAUGUUGUUAUUUUAAUUUUAGUCUUUUUCCCUAGCAAUUCGACAUGUCUCAUUCUUUUCAUCACCAAUUACAGAUAAAUGACAAAAGAGAGAAUGUCACAUGAAAAUCACUAGAAAAGGUUAUUUUGGGCAUAGCUAAUUAAUUAGAUGGGCAUCAGGGCAUGUGAAUCCAGAUUAGAUGGAUGUUCAAUUGCUACAUCACUUCUAUCAUUGUAUGCUUACUAUCCUAACGUCAUGACUGGAGAUGGAAGGUUUGUGGGGGAGAUGUCCCAUGACAGCACAAUCCAGUGCAUAAUUGCUUUAGCAGCCGGAAAAAGAGUCAAGAUGCAGCGAUGCAACGUCAAGUGAGCAAUGGCAUGGCAUGAGCAAUUGCGGGGACAAAUGCGAGCGCCACUGUUGUCCCACUGUGAACACGUUAUUCUGAUAUGUAUGAUCAAGGCAUUGUUCGAUAAGGAAACCCAUUUUCUUCUGAACUAAUCCACGUGGCAACUGCCAUGGUUCAUCUAAUAUAAUUUUGAAAGCAAUCUG